UACGGGGGGGGCAAGCGUUGUUCGGAAUUACUGGGCGUAAAGGGCUCGUAGGCGGCCAACUAAGUCGGAUGUGAAAUCCCCAGGCUUAACCUGGGAACUGCGUCUGAUACUGGAUGGCUCGAGAUUGGGAGAGGGAUGCGGAAUUCCAGGUGUAGCGGUGAAAUGCGUAGAUAUCUGGAGGAACACCGGUGGCGAAGGCGGCAUCCUGGACCAACACUGACGCUGAGGAGCGAAAGCCAGGGGAGCAAACGGG
rnacentral:rRNA from 1 species